UUUAAAGGUGUACAGGCUAAAGCCGCCACGUCCUGUGGCAACGCCUGCAUGACCCACAUCGUGUGGG
rfam:Sediminibacillus halophilus strain CGMCC 1.6199 genome assembly, contig: Ga0079860_101